UGGCUCAGUGGUUAAGAGCACUGACUUCUAUUCCAGAGAACCUGGGUUCAAUUCCCAG
rnacentral:tRNA from 1 species